UCCGCGAAAGUAUCGUAUGUUACUUUUUAUCGAAAUUGAGAUUUUAAUGCCAAAUUGUUAGAAAACUUAUGUCUCGCUAUCCUGCAAAAUAAUAUAACUGAAAACGCUAUAGUUCCAAUAAAAACUAAGUUUCAAUUUUAUCGUAUGUAACUGUGAAUUUUUCUGUUCGCGCAAAAUUAUCGUAAGUCCAUACACAUUUUUUUGCAUGUGGAACGAAUUACUGCAAACGCACAAAAAUAUAGAGAGAUAACAACAUUUUCAUAUCUUCAUUAUGUGCUCUUUCCAUUUUGCCGUUAAUUCCUCUUUACGCCGUUAAUUCUUGGUGUACGUUUCGAUAUUCAUUGAUCUAUCUGGUGAUAAGUGAAGCUGUGAAAGCCCAAAUUAGUCUUCAUUUAGUUUCAAACACAUCAAUAGUGAACAAAAUAUAAACAAUUGUGAUCAACAAAUGAUUUAUUUGUUAUGGAAUUUACCCAUGGAAAACUAGCUCAUGAAGUGUUUUUAGAUAGAUGUGAAGUCUUGUGAAAUCACCAGUCCCAUAUAGUGAUAGCGAUAACGAUGAUGAAGAGUGCUGCGUUGGAAAACGUGGACUUAAGCGCCAACCAGUGAGAAAGGAAAAGAAGAAAAAUGACAAUAGAGUACUUCCUAACCCGUGUAUAAAUACCAAAUGUAAGAAGGAUUGUCGAAGUGUGCCAGACAUUUCCCGGCAAAAUAUUAACGAACAUUACUGGGGUAUGUCAAACACAAGACGGCUAACAUGGCUUCAUGCAAAUAUCAAACAAAAGCAAAUUAAAAAAAAGGCGAGCUGGGCAGGAAGCAAAGCGUGUGCAAAGGCGAAACUGGACGUUUGAAUAUUCCCUAUUGUGGGAUGGAAAAAUAUUUAAAGUUUGCCAGAAUUUUUUUUGAAAACUUUAAAUAUUUCUCAAAUGGUUUUGAGACAUGCAUUAAAGAAAACUAUUAGUUUUGAAAGCCGAAAAAAAGCACCACAUAAUAAAACAGACCAUCGUACAAUAGAUUUUAUCAAAGCUUACAUAAAAAAGUUGCCAGCAGUACCAUCACACUAUUGCCGUAAAAAUAAUCAAAAAGUCUAUUUACCAAGGGAAUUCAGAAAUGUAUCCAAUUUAUAUAAAUUGUAUCUUAUUUAUUUGGAAGAUCAAGGCUUAAAUGAGUUCACAGUAUCUUGCCGAAUAUUUCGAAAUGUUUUUAAUACAGAGUUUUCAAUUGGUUUCCAUUUGCCAAAAAAGGACAAAUGCACGAUUUGCGAAAAUAUAAAGUAUAUUAACAAAGAUGAUAGAGAAAAAGUUCAGAAUUCAAAAGAAUUUCAAAUUCAAAUAAAUAUUAAAAAACAAAGUACAGCUACUUUUCUCAAAGAACAAGCGGAAAGUAAAAUGGGACAAAAAUUUCUUUGCGCUAGUUUCGAUAUGCAAAAGGUUUUGCAUACUCCUUUUCCAAAAAUGCUACCCUUUUUUAUUCACGCAAAUACGCUUACUACAACUUAAGUGUGUAUGAAAGUGGGACCCGAAAUGGAUACUGUUUUUUGUGGGGCGAAAUCGAUGGCAAGAGAGGCAGUAAUGAAAUAUGCUCAGCUCUCUUGAGGUAUCUUCUUAUUCUAGAUAGUCGGAAAAAAACCGAUGAUCUGAGCCUUUAUUGCGAUAGUUGCUCAGGACAAAAUAAGAACAAGGCUGUGCUAGCAAUGAUAUCAUAUUUUUUAAAUACUUAUAUUUUCCUAAAAACAAUAAAGAUUGCCUAUUUACUUCCCGGACACACUAUGAUGCCGGUAAACUCAGUACACAGCACUAUAGAAUCUUUUAUCAGAAACCAAUGUUUGGGCAACCAGUGAAUGGCCGACACUGAUUAGAAAUUCAAGAACAAAUCCGUCAGGGUACGAAUGCAUAGAAUUACAUCACACUGACUUUAAGAAUUGGAAACUUUUUGCGAACUCACUAUUUAAAAAUAAAACUUUAAACUUAAGUAAAUUACGUAUCGCUAUUAUUAGAAAAGAACAAUUGUCAAUAGAUUUAAGCUACGAGUAUUUCGAAAACUCAAACAAAAAACUUAUUAAUUUGUUCAACGUUAACCAAAAGAUUGAAUCUUUAUAUAGCUGUAAAUUAAAUAUAUCAACAAAAAAAUUCGUAGACUUAAGUAAUUUGUGUAAUAAAAAUAGUAUACCACAAAACUAUCAUAAGGAAUACUUAAACUUUCGACAUUCAAAUUUAAUAAAGGACUGUUUGGAGGAAACGGAUGAAGAAGAUUAAA